UACGAAAGGGGCUAGCGUUGUUCGGAAUUACUGGGCGUAAAGCGCACGUAGGCGGCCAUGUAAGUUGGGGGUGAAAUCCCGGGGCUCAACUCCGGAACCGCCUUCAAAACUACAUGGCUAGAGGACGCGAGAGGUGAGUGGAAUUCCGAGUGUAGAGGUGAAAUUCGUAGAUAUUCGGAAGAACACCAGUGGCGAAGGCGACUCACUGGCGCGUUUCUGACGCUGAGGUGCGAAAGCAUGGGGAGCAAACAGG
rnacentral:misc_RNA from 1 species